rnacentral:rRNA from 1 species
AAAUUGAAGAGUUUGAUCAUGGCUCAGAUUGAACGCUGGCGGCAGGCCUAACACAUGCAAGUCGAACGGUAGCACAGAGAGCUUGCUCUCGGGUGACGAGUGGCGGACGGGUGAGUAAUGUCUGGGAAACUGCCUGAUGGAGGGGGAUAACUACUGGAAACGGUGGCUAAUACCGCAUAACGUCGCAAGACCAAAGAGGGGGACCUUCGGGCCUCUUGCCAUCAGAUGUGCCCAGAUGGGAUUAGCUAGUUGGUGAGGUAACGGCUCACCAAGGCGACGAUCCCUAGCUGGUCUGAGAGGAUGACCAGCCACACUGGAACUGAGACACGGUCCAGACUCCUACGGGAGGCAGCAGUGGGGAAUAUUGCACAAUGGGCGCAAGCCUGAUGCAGCCAUGCCGCGUGUAUGAAGAAGGCCUUCGGGUUGUAAAGUACUUUCAGCGGGGAGGAAGGUGUUGUGGUUAAUAACCGCAGCAAUUGACGUUACCCGCAGAAGAAGCACCGGCUAACUCCGUGCCAGCAGCCGCGGUAAUACGGAGGGUGCAAGCGUUAAUCGGAAUUACUGGGCGUAAAGC